GAUGAACGCUAGCGGCAGGCUUAACACAUGCAAGUCGAGGGGCAUCACGGGUAGCAAUACCUGGUGGCGACCGGCGGAAGGGUGCGUAACGCGUGAGCAACAUGCCCUAUACAGGGGGAUAAUCCAGGGAAACUUGGUCUAAUACCCCAUUGGAUUUAUUGGUGGCAUCAUUGAUAAAUUAAAGCUUCGGUGGUAUAGGAUUGGCUCGCGUGACAUUAGUUUGAUGGUGAGGUAACGGCUCACCAUGGCGAUGAUGUCUAGGGGUUCUGAGAGGAAGGCCCCCCACACUGGGACUGAGACACGGCCCAGACUCCUACGGGAGGCAGCAGUGAGGGAUAUUGGACAAUGGAUGGAAAUCUGAUCCAGCCAUGCCGCGUGCAGGAAGACGGCCCUAUGGGUUGUAAACUGCUUUUAUACGGGAGCAAUAAGGUCUACGCGUAGACUGAUGAGAGUACCGUAUGAAUAAGCAUCGGCUAACUCCGUG
rnacentral:rRNA from 1 species